rnacentral:rRNA from 1 species
GACGAACGCUGGCGGCGUGCUUAACACAUGCAAGUCGAGCGAGAAAGGGCCUUCGGGCCUGAGUACAGCGGCGAACGGGUGAGUAACACGUGGGCAACCUGCCCCAGAGACUGGGAUAACGUUCCGAAAGGGACGCUAAUACCGGAUAAUGCGUGAUCCGCUAAGUGGGUCACGCCAAAUGGUAGCUUUGGCCUCUGCUCUGGGAUGGGCCCGCGCCGGAUUAGCUAGUUGGUGAGGUAACGGCUCACCAAGGCGACGAUCCGUAGCUGGUCUGAGAGGAUGAUCAGCCACACUGGGACUGAGACACGGCCCAGACUCCUACGGGAGGCAGCAGUGGGGAAUCUUGCGCAAUGGGCGAAAGCCUGACGCAGCAACGCCGCGUGAGCGAAGAAGGCCUUCGGGUUGUAAAGCUCUGUCAGGAGGGACGAAGCCACUCAGGUUAAUAGCCGAGAGGGUGACGGUACCUCCAGAGGAAGCCCCGGCUAACUACGUGCCAGCAG